GACUAUCAUGUCAGUACUAAUCAAGUAGCACUACUGCAUUAUGCUCUUAUAUACUUUGUGCAUUACUGCUAGUCUCCAUGAAUAAUACACA
rnacentral:ncRNA from 1 species